rnacentral:rRNA from 1 species
GAUGAACGCUGGCGGCGUGCCUAACACAUGCAAGUCGAGCGAAAAGAUGAGGCGCUUGCCUCCCUGACGGUAGCGGCGGACGGGUGAGUAACACGUGGAUAACCUACCUAUAAGACUGGGAUAACUUCGGGAAACCGGAGCCAAUACCGGAUAAUAUAUUGAACCGCAUGGUUCAAUAGUGAAAGACGGUUUUGCUGUCACUUAUAGAUGGUUCCGCGCCGCAUUAGCUAGUUGGUAAGGUAACGGCUUACCAAGGCGACGAUCCGUAGCCGACCUGAGAGGGUGAUCAGCCACACUGGAACUGAGACACGGUCCAGACUCCUACGGGAGGCAGCAGUAGGGAAUCUUGCACAAUGGGCGAAAGCCUGACGGAGCAACGCCGCGUGAAUGAUGAAGGUCUUCGGAUCGUAAAACUCUGUUAUUAGGGAAGAACAAAUGUGUAAGUAACUAUGCACGUAUUGACGUUACCUAAUCAGAAAGCCACGGCUAACUACGUG